rnacentral:pre_miRNA from 1 species
UGAUGAUGAUGAUGAUGAUGAUGAUGAUGAUGAUUAUGAUGAUAAGGAUAACGUUGACGAUCGUGAUGAUCGUCAUGUUUUUCAUCAUCGUCGUCAUCGUCAUCUUCAUCAUCAUCA